rnacentral:rRNA from 1 species
UACGGGGGGGGGCAAGCGUUGUUCGGAAUUACUGGGCGUAAAGGGCUCGUAGGCGGCCAACUAAGUCAGACGUGAAAUCCCUCGGCUUAACCGGGGAACUGCGUCUGAUACUGGAUGGCUUGAGGUUGGGAGAGGGAUGCGGAAUUCCCGGUGUAGUGGUGAAAUGCGUAGAUAUCGGGAGGAACACCAGUGGCGAAGGCGACUACCUGGCCUGUUCUUGACGCUGAGGCGA